ACUCGAAUACGUUUUAAUUACAGCGAUAAGAUUUCGGAAGGAACCAGGAUUUAUCAUUUAGUUCGAUAUUUUUCCAACAGAGGGAUCUGUAUGCUCGUCGAGCGGCAGGAAGCUCGGGCAGCUGAACCGGCGCCUUACCCAGCCCAGAUCUGAGUGUCGGUUUGCUGGGACCGGCUACAGUGCAGUCGGCGCGGUGACAACGGAGGUACCAUCGACUCUAGUUACAUAACUGGACCCGGAAACGAGAAAAACUACCCGAGCGGUGGACACGAGGGACUUUAACGUGUUAUAUAUCUUCUAAAGCGCCCAUGUUCCCUAAUGACCAUGUUGUGCCUGGAAAGAGUAAGGAUCACGCUCAUUCUGGCAUCCGCAACGGUCUGCUUUAAAUCAGAAUUCGAUUCGCAUCUUUCGAACUUUCCAAAUUACAUUAAUGACUUCAAAUUGCUGCCACAAAUUAGCAUUCUAUAAAAGUAAUUAUGUUAAUUACAGUGGAAAGAAAUUAGCAACGGUAUCAGUCGAUAGUGAAAUAUUUUGGCCAUUUAUCAAACUCCCCAACGACCGGACCAUUUGUCAAAACGUGUAAUUGGUAAAUGAACAUCGACAAACGGAGAAUAAAUCGAAGAUCGCGACAUGAAGAAGCCAGUGACUUAACGAGGAGUGAAGGACCACCGCUUUCGUCUGGUUCGACUAGAAGCCGUACGUACGUGGAUUGUAAAGACUCACAAAAAAAGAGGGAAAUUCCCCUCUCAGUAGACGUUUGUGGUCGAGAGAAACCUUAAUUAAGCAUUGAAGGAGCGUAUUAUCAGUGACUUCUAAUUAAUGCACUAGUCUAUCGCUUUUAAGAGUAAGAAAGGGGAAAAGACGACGAUGGUUGAUCAAAGGGAGUGAAAUCAUUAACUGUACGAACUGUUAGGAGAAACAUAUUUUUCUUAAUACAUUUUUUCAGAUCUGGCAAUGUUAGGGUGUCUCAUUAGACGAAGAAAGUAGAUUAUUCCCUCACUAGAGAACGAAAUAAUAAAAACUUAAUCACAAUUAUAACUCUUCGUUAACGGUAACCACUAGAAAAUUAAUUCGCUACCUAAUUAUCCAGUCGAUUAUCUGAGAGUUUAAAGAUUAGAAUAGUCUUUGUUACGAUAAACUUAAUAUAAGAGGGAAAAAAAUAUAAAUCUAAGCGACCGGAUUUGUCGCAUGGGACCGGUUACAAUCUGUCAAAUUAAGGUCAAGAUCGAAAGAUUUUAUUUGUAGAUUCCAAUUAGCAUACAAUACGCGCUUCUUCUUUCUGUCAGCUUAUGCGAUCGGCGUGCGAAGAAUAACAAGUAAAGAAUUGUUCAGAUGGAGAUUAGGUCGUCGAGUCCCAACUGUUUGGAAAAAAAAUCGAUUCUGUCGCCUUUACAGUUACUUAAAUUCGAAAAAAUAUAUAUGGGAACUUAGACUACACCCUUUAAAAGCGACUUCUCCGCUCGACACAUCCCUAGACCCGCCAUAAAAAUGUAGGCAGUCCAAUAAUCUAUAAUAUACACGGCGUAAGGAAGGAUAGAAACCGUUAUUGGACAUGGAAGGCCGCACCUGUCGUCGGAUCCCGAUGUCGAGCCGACAUUGUAUUUAUUAAAGGAGAGAACGGCUAUCAUAAAACUGCCCGUUCCACCCGAUCCUCCCACCCCCUAACUGUUGGCAGUAAAGUUAUCGAAGGACAUCGAACAUCAGGAGAGCGGGCCGUCCGGUCUUGUUCCUAGAAGGGGAUGGAAAAUGUCGGGGGGAAAAGAAGUUUAGUAAGGCCACCUAGUAGACCGAGUGGUCCAGAGGUUAUGAUUUUCGUUCCCCCCAAGCGGCAGCUGUGGCCAAUGUCGUCGGAAAUAACGCACCGGGAAUUUAUCGCGAGGUCCGGCCCGGACGUUCCACGCGCCGAUUGUUACGUCGACGACACGUCAGACGGGACGGGCUGAUGAUUUAAAAGCCGAUUCGGGACAAAAUCGAGUUAACUCGUCGUCCGAUCCACGUGAUUGUUCAACUCAGUUUUAAGCUUUCAGAAGGCGAUGGAGAUCGAUCCAGGACAAAACUAAAUUUAGCAGCCGAGAAGUGGAACUGGCAGCUUUCCGAAAGGACACGGCGCAAUCUAUUAGGAGACUCGAUUUGAUAUUCAUGUAUACAUCCGCCACUUUGCAAUUAUACUUCUAAAAUUGAAUUAGAUGCCACUCGGCAGUUAUGUUUCUCAUUAAAGUCAGUUCAUCCUUCGGAAUAAGCUACAAUGUGCACUUCCUUUUCUUUUUCUUACAUUAUUUUGACAUUAUGCGGCAUUAAAAACAAUAAACUUCGACUAUAAUAGAUAAAGGAAAGUUGAAAAGUUAAGGAAUCAAGGAGAUUCUCUGCCAAAUUAUCAAGAGCUCUUAUAUGCUUUUGAAGAUGGAUGGGCAUUAUAGUUGUCUUAAUGACUGUUGACUAAGGAAAUGAUAUUAAAGGCGGAAUUAUUUUUCCACUCGUUUAUUACUAUUUUGUCAAGUAUUAUUCAAAUAAACUAUCUUAUUAAAAUUUAUUAGCUGUUAAAUUUUAUAUGUUUAACGGAGGACCACCCAGAUUUAUUAAAAAGUAUUUUAACUUUUCUUCUUUCAUCUCUACUAUCAACAAGAGAUUACUAUAUAUAAUAAGUUCGUGUUGAGUGUUAAUAGAACAUGGAAACGAUCGGCAAUUCUUUGUAAACAUUUCUGAUGUUUAGAGUGUUUUUCGAAUGAACCAUUAACUGCAUGGAACCAAACCGUGACAUUUGAAUUGGCAUAGGCUCGAAGUACCGUUAAUAAGUUGUAAAUGGAAACGGUUAUAUUCGAGAUUUACAUUCGUGAAUCGAAGCAAUUCUAAAUAAACACCUUUCGAUCACUAUUGUCUUUGGCGGAAAUGAUGUCAUCGCGACAUAAAAGCGUGACUAACCCCGACCGCGUCCCGGUUAGCUCCGUUAAACGCGUGCCCUUCGUGAUACGCGUGCUUAUAUCUAUAAAAACCGUCAGCUGCAUGUUACCACCGAUCACUUUCGACCCAUCCCGUCGGCUUACUACCCACAAAGACAUAAUUAAUGUAUGUAGUCAAUAGAUACGUGAUGGAUCCGACCCGACGUUUAAUACGUCGGACAUACGCACGUGCCCGUUUUCUGUGUAUAUUCUUCAAUAUUAAUGUAAAUAUCGAAAGAACCCGACCUCCUAUUUCCUGUUUGGAUCGAUAAAAAUGUUAAAGGUGGUCGAAAGUCGUGAGUUUACUUUUGUUAUCUAUCCGUUUCUGAUGCUUCACCGAUUGAUAGAAGGACGAGAAGAAUAGAGCAGUAAACUAGUGCGCC